AAUUGCCUCAUAAUUGGGGGCUUGUUUGAAUGGUUUGACGUAGUAAUGAUUAAUAUCUAAAAUUUUGUUGAAAUUGGUAAUGAGGGUUCAGAAUCCUCUUUUUUUAAUUAGACGGAAAGACCCCGGGAUCUUUUGUUUUUUGCCUGGGGCAGGUUUUAGUAUUUUACUAAUAUUUUGUUCCUUUUGUUUGGGAUAGUGAGUUAAGUUACCCCGGGGAUAACAGUGUAAUAGUUGAUUAGAGAUCUUAUUGAAUCAACUGUUUGCCACCUCGAUGUUGACUUAGGUUAUCAGCUUAGGCGUAGUAGUUUAGGUUUUUGGUCUGUUCGACCUUUUAACCUCCAUGAGUUGAGUUAAGACCGGCGUGAGCCAGGUCGGUUCUUAUCUAUUGUUGAGAUUUAUUAGUACGAAAGGACCGUAAAUCUUUUUAUUAGAUAUGCAGCUGUUGGGUCCCAGUUUUGCAAAGACUGGUGUGGAUGUUUGUUUCCCAUAUCUUUUGUGUGUUUAACUAUGGCAGUAGAAAGUGUUAAUGCAUCAACUGCAUAAAAAUUUUUUAUUUGUUUGUAAAUAAGGUUUUGUUACUUUUAUUAGCAGUUAGUACUCUGUUGAGAUGCAGGUCUUGGGGGGGUGCGUUAUGUUAAGGGGAUAGGACACAGUGCCAGCAUCCGCGGUUAUUCUGUUUUCUUUGCUUUUUUGUAGGUUAGUGUUUAAAUAUUUAUAGUGGAGAUUAGGUGAAAUUUUCUUUUUGUUAUAUUUUAUAUUUAGGCUUUGAUAAAUGAUUGUUAUGACAGGGAUUAGAUACCCCAUUAAUAUAUUGUUAUAUUUGGCCUUAGUUUUAACUAAAAUAGU
rnacentral:rRNA from 1 species